CCAUACAGAAAGAUGGCUUCACUUUCCAUGCCUUGCAGCUCCCUCAGCUGUCACCAUUGCUGAAAAGCUAUGCCAAUGUUUACUCUAGUUUGUUUUGUCUCUUUAACUCCUUUUUCAGAGACUAUAAGUAAUUUAUAGCUGUUGGGGUGUUAAGACCAUUUCAAAAAAUAUAUUAAAAAGUGUAUAUUGGAAAAUGUUACCAACCCUUCUGUUAACUGUUCGAGUUCAUUGCCAAACC